rnacentral:rRNA from 1 species
CCAGACUCCUACGGGAGGCAGCAGUGAGGAAUAUUGGUCAAUGGGCGGAAGCCUGAACCAGCCAAGUCGCGUGAGGGAAGAAGGCCCUGCGGGUCGCAGACCUCUUUGGACGGGGAGCAAGGCCGCCGACGUGUCGGCGGAAGGAGAGUACCCGUAGAACAAGCAUCGGCUAACUCCGUGCCAGCAGCCGCGGUAAUACGGAGGAUGCGAGCGUUAUCCGGAUUUAUUGGGUUUAAAGGGUGCGCAGGCGGAUUUUUAAGUCAGCGGUCAAAUCGUGGGGCUCAACCCCAUCCAGCCGUUGAAACUGGGGAUCUAGAGUGUGCGAGAGGUAUGCGGAAUGCGUGGUGUAGCGGUGAAAUGCAUAGAUAUCACGCAGAACCCCGAUUGCGAAGGCAGCAUACCGGUGCACAACUGACGCUCAGGCACGAAAGCGUGGGUAUCGAACAGGAUUAGAUACCCCCGUA